GUUUGUCCUCUCUCCACUUCUCUCCAGCCUCCAUGCCUGGAAUUUUGCUUAACACCUGGUGGAUAUACAAGAAAUUCUUGUUGGAUGAAUUAAAAUGGAUUGUCAUAUAACUAUUGAAUGGAGGUACUGUUAUAUCCGUCUGGUUGACCCUCCUACCUGUAAAGAUGGAAAGUUAAAAGAAGUGACGGAGAAAAAUGAUUCACAACUUUUUUAAGAAAAAGUUCCAGCAUUAUCACUGGAAGCAAUCUGGGAUUACAGCAGAAGGUCAGCAGGUGCAUGGGGCAUCCUCUGAAGAGUCAGGCGUGUGCUUUGGCUGGGGACACAGCUGGACCAUG